CGGGGUGUAGUUCACCAGUAGAACGCGCGGUUCGGGACCGCGAGGCAGGAGGUGCGAUUCCUCUCACCCCGA
rnacentral:tRNA from 1 species